rnacentral:rRNA from 1 species
UACGGGGGGGGCAAGCGUUGUUCGGAAUUACUGGGCGUAAAGGGCGUGUAGGCGGCCAACUAAGUCCGACGUGAAAUCCCCAGGCUUAACCUGGGAACUGCGUCGGAUACUGGAUGGCUUGAAUCCGGGAGAGGGAUGCAGAAUUCCAGGUGUAGCGGUGAAAUGCGUAGAUAUCUGGAGGAAUACCGGUGGCGAAGGCGGAUCUCUGGGCCUUUCCUGACGCUCAGACACGAAAGCUUGGGGAGCGAACAGG